UAUAAAAGCCAGUAUCAAUUGAAGUACAAGUAGGAGACUAAGUACUAUACAAUCGCUCAAAAGAAGCAGCCAUGUCGUGCUCUAUUUGUGUCCAAAUUCUCAAGUCCGCCGGAAAACAUCUCGCCACCGUCUCCAUUUGCGGCCAUGUCUUCCAUCAAUGCUGCCUUGAAAAGUGGAUGGACCGCUGCUCAAUAUACAACAAGUACACUUGUCCAAUGUGCAACCAGGUCUGCCAAAGAAGCAAUGUCACUCGCCUUUAUUUCCCGUCCGACUCAGAGGAUGAGGGAUCAGAUGGCGACGAUGAUCCUGUUGACAACCCUGAUCUAACAGUUAACAGUGGAAUUCGUACUAUGGUAACUACGGCUUGGAAGCAGAUAGAUUGGAUGACAGUUUUAUUGAUUGUCAAGUCUGCCAUAGACAUUGCUCAUUCGCUGAUUCAGAUUGCUGAUAUGUCAAUUAAAUUGUGGAGAUCUUUUAAAUCUAAAAGUGAUGACAAAGAUGAUUGAAAUAACUUUUGCAGUGACGGCGAAGAUGAUAGAAAUGACUAAUAGAUUCCGUAUUAAUUUUUUGGCCAAGGAUUAACUUUUCGAUUCGUUAACAUGUUCAGGUGCUGUUCAGCUUUUUUCUUGUUGUAGAGAAUAGACAAAGUUCUAUGUGGACAGUUUUUUGUAUAUAGUGUUUUAGAAGAUAUAACUGCUUGAAAGGGUCCGGAAACGCAAGGUUAUCAGUGUAGGUUGCUCCUUUUGGAACUGCUUUUUUCCACUGCGAUUAUUUCACGCAAUGGUUGUACCAUGUUAACAAGCCAAUGAAUGUUUUAAAUAUCCUGACAUUGCAAACA